rnacentral:rRNA from 1 species
AUUGAACGCUGGCGGCAUGCCUAACACAUGCAAGUCGAGCGGCAGCGGGAAGUAGCUUGCUACUUUGCCGGCGAGCGGCGGACGGGUGAGUAAUGUCUGGGAAACUGCCUGAUGGAGGGGGAUAACUACUGGAAACGGUAGCUAAUACCGCAUAACGUCGCAAGACCAAAGAGGGGGACCUUCGGGCCUCUUGCCAUCAGAUGUGCCCAGAUGGGAUUAGCUAGUAGGUGGGGUAAUGGCUCACCUAGGCGAUGAUCCCUAGCUGGUCUGAGAGGAUGACCAGCCACACUGGAACUGAGACACGGUCCAGACUCCUACGGGAGGCAGCAGUGGGGAAUAUUGCACAAUGGGCGCAAGCCUGAUGCAGCCAUGCCGCGUGUAUGAAGAAGGCCUUCGGGUUGUAAAGUACUUUCAGCGGGGAGGAAGGUGUUGAGGUUAAUAACCUCAGCAAUUGACGUUACCCGCAGAAGAAGCACCGGCUAACUCCGUGCCAGCAGCCGCAGUAA